rnacentral:rRNA from 1 species
UUUGAGAGAAGGGAUGACACAGUAGGAUAAGCUAAGCACACUGUUGGUUAUGUGUGCCCAAGCAUUGAGGCAGUCAAAGUAGGCAAAUCCGCUUUGAUAAUGCUGGGAUGUGAUGGGGAGCGAAAUUUAGUAGCGAAGUAGCUGAUUUCACACUGUCAAGAAAAGUCUCUAUCGAGGUUAAAGGUACCCGUACCGCAAACCGACACAGGUGGGUGAGGAGAGUAUCCUAAGGCCAGCGAGAGAACUGUUGUUAAGGAACUCGGCAAAAUGACCCCGUAACUUAGGGAUAAGGGGUGCCACCAUCAGGUGGCCGCAGAGAAUAGGCCCAAGCGACUGUUUACCAAAAACAUAGGUUUCUGCUAAGUCGCAAGACGAUGUAUAGGAGCUGACGCCUGCCCGGUGCUGGAAGGUUAAGGGGAUCUGUUAGAGCAAUCGAAGCAGUGAACUUAAGCCCCAGUAAACGGCGGCCGUAACUAUAACGGUCCUAAGGUAGCGAAAUUCCUUGUCGGGUAAGUUCCGACCCGCACGAAAGGCGUAACGAUUUGGGCACUGUCUCAACAACAGACUCGGUGAAAUUGUAAUUCCGGUGAAGAUGCCGGAUACCUGCGACAGGACGGAAAGACCCCAUGGAGCUUUACUGUAGCUUGACAUUGGGUCUUGGUACUACAUGUACAGGAUAGGUGGGAGGCUUUGAAACCAGGACGCCAGUUUUGGCGGAGCCAUCCUUGGGAUACCACCCUUGUAGUACUGGGACUCUAACCAUAGGCCAUGAAUCUGGUCUUGGGACACUGUCAGGUGGGCAGUUUGACUGGGGCGGUCGCCUCCCAAAAGG